GUUUGAAAAUGGGACCUUUAGUACCGGUUCGUGGCACGAACCGGGACUAAAGGUCUCAACCCCAUUAGUUCCGGUUCGUGCCACAAACCGCGACUAAAAGGGAGGAGCUUUAGUCGC
rnacentral:pre_miRNA from 1 species